GCAAGGCGAUAGCUCAGUGGGUAAAGCGCCAGGUUAGAAUCCGAGAGCUAUUAUCUGCGCGGGUUCGAAUCCCGCCUGUGGCA